rnacentral:rRNA from 1 species
AGCUUUACAUAGAUUUAAAUUUAGCUAAUUUAGUUAAAUAAAGGUUAGAUUUAAUUAUUUGUUUUAUUGGGGUGAUAUGAGUAUAAAUAUUAAUAACUGCUUAAGAAAAAUACUAAUAUAAUAGGUUUAUAAGUGGAUGAUCCUUUUUAAAGAUUAAAAGACUAAG